rnacentral:tRNA from 1 species
GCACCCAUAGCUCAGUUGGUUAGAGUGCAUGCUUGACAUGCAUGAGGUCGCUGGUUCGAGUCCAGCUGGGUGCA